CAUUUCGUUCCCAUUCCACACUUAGAAAGUUCAGGACAGUAGGGGCCUUCAUACAUUCUCUGCCAGGAGGUAAACUUCUUUAACUCUCUUCAACUCCUCCAAGAUUUCACCUACAUUAAUGGAAAGAACAUUCAUUUCAGUUCAGUUCAAUCAUUCCAGUUCGUUAAACUCAACGGCAAUCAGCCAACCAACAGUCAUUCCCAAGGUAUUAAUUCUAUUUCAGAUAUCCAUUCCAGUAAGCAUUCAUACCAUAGCAUAAUCAAUUCCAGAUGAUAUAAGACUCUCAUAAGCAUGAUAGACAUAACAGACGCAGGCUUUAUCAUGUAGAACACCAACCACUAUUGUUGAGCAAGUGCCAAUAAGAAUUCGAGUUUGAACGAGUAUAGUUUGAAUUUACACAAAACAAGAAGAGAUUACGCCUUGUCUUUAAUUCGCGUUGAGAGCCGAUAGAAAGAGAGUCGAGUUUUUACUUAGCUUUAGGUUGAGUGGUAGUGGACUGUCGGAGCUCUGCGACUCACGGCGACGACGGCUCCGGGAGAGGCGGCUGCCGGACUCUUACUGUUAACAGCAGCGGCUGGCGGCGGCGCUCCCAGGCGGCGGCGUUACCUCAGCAGCGGCGACGUCCGGCGAUAGAACUCCAGGCCGCGACCCGGCGAAACAGCAGCGGUAGUUGGUGGCGUGGCUCGAACCUUCGACUCCGGAGGUAGCAGCAACGGCGGACCCCCCCUGCUCGCCGGAAAUCGCACAGCAGCAGCGGCGGUGCUCGCCGGUUCCGCGGCGGUGGCAGAUCGAAGCAGCGGCGGCGCUCUCGAUUUGGGGAUCUGCUCGUACAACGGUGAAGAGGGGGUUUAGGGCGAGGAGGCGGCGCGGUCAACAGCUGAACGCCGGCCACGCCGGCAGCUGGAACGACCGGAGAAGGAAGCGGUGGCGGCGGACGCCUCGAUUGAAGGUAGAUCGAGGGAGGAGAAGGUUGAGUGUGAUUUAGGAGAGAUCAGAGAGAGAGAGAGGAUAAGGAGGAAGAGGCAGGUGCGGCCACGCCGGACCUAGGCACGGCGGCAGCCGACGCCGGUCGGAGCAGAGAAGGAGCUCGACUGUUUCGACUGAUUCUGGGAGAAGGAGCUCUCGGCUGAUAUUUGAGAGGAGAGGGUGCCGACUGUUUUAGAAAAAGAGAGAGAGAGACUAAAUUGGGCCAACUGAUUUUGGGCUUCUUCCCUUAUACUCGAAAUUGGGCCUUUAAUUUAUUUAAUUUGGGCUGGUUUAAAUCCUUGAAUUGGACCUUGAUUAAUUAUUUCUUUGGGCCGAGUUUAUUUAUAUUAAAGCCCAACUGCAUUUUAUUAAUCGGGCUGCUGUAUUAUCUUAGCUGGGCCUUGAUCGUUUAAUUUAUUUAUUUGAGCCCAACCAAUCAAUUAUUUUUUCGUGGGACCAAGAUUUAUUUAAUUACUUGAACCAAUGAAUUAUUUCAAUCCGGCCUUUUAUAUUAAUUAUUAAGGCCACUUCCACUUAAUUAAUUAUUAGGCUGUCUUAUGUUGGACCUUUUAAUUAUUCGAAUUUAUAACAUUACUUUUCCUUAUUAUUAAGCCCGAUUAAUUAUGAGGUUAUAAAGCGAAUAAGCCUAGGUAUUUAUUUCUUUUCUAUCGAAUACAAGGAGCAUGAUUUAUUUAAUUGGCGGAUUAGAACACCCUGUAGAAAACGGAUUAAUUUUAGAUAAUUAUCCGGCUUCAUGAGAUGAGACUUAGCUUUUGUUUAAAUCCGAUAGCCUGGAUUAAUAGUAAAAUUUCCGAUUAUUAUUUCAGAAUAAUAAUUCAUGCAUAAGAGGAUCAUGCAUCGUUAAUUUCGUAUUCUCAUUAUUUGAGGAUUUUGCUCGAGCAGUAUCUUAUUUAUAUUCUUGUAAUAAAGGUCAAGCACGAGAUUAAUAAUCAGUCAAUGAGCUACUGUACCACAGAAAGUUUCUAUCAGGUGGGCAUUACUUUCAUAUAUAUCAAAUGAGUUUAAAUGUUACGUUCAAGCAAGUUAUUUCAUGAUAAAAUCUUUGAGUUAAAGUUAUUUCAAGUAUUGUCUUGCCAUAAAAUGUUUAAAUUUUAGUAUGAUAUCUAUCUGCUUUGGCUUUGCCAAUGAUGCAAUCGAAUUCGGGUCCUGAGCAGUUGAUAGCUAUCCUGCCAGGGCUAGUGUACACCAGUGACCGUGAGUCAUCUAGCGGGUUGGCCGGUCAAGUGACCGUGAGAGGUGGCCACCUCUCCGGCACACAGUUCCAGAUAUGAUAGAUUACAAGAGAACUUAGACUGCAGUCGAACUUUAAGAAUCACAACUGAAUUUUGUAAGCUUGGGCCUUUUUAGCGAAAAACCCCUUGCUGUACUGUUUAUGAUGGCAUGACAAUUUAAAUCUUUACGAAGCAUGUUAUAUUUCAUAGUAGGCAUAUGUGCCCACUGAGUACCUUUGUACUCAAGCCCUGCAUAUAUUUCUAAAUGUGCAGGUUGAGCAGCUACCGAUGGUGAUGAAGUGACGAGCGGGACUUUUUUGUCUUAUUAUGUAUUAAUGAACUCUAGGGAUACAUGUCUUCAUACAUGUAAUCAGAACCUUAUUCCGCUGCGUACUCAGAAGUUUUAUGUUAUUUUGGCUAAGUCGGAGUUAUCCGAACUUACUAGUUAUUUGAGUUUAUACGACUAAACCUCCGUCAUAUUAUAAAUAUCCCUUUUGUUAACAAUGAUGAAAUGUGAUCCUUCCUUGUUUGAUUAUUCCCCUUUCCACCCCGCUUCUAAUCUCCCUCCAUUAGUCACGGUUUCCCGGCUUAAUUAUCCUUAAUUAGGUCCGGUCGUGACAAAUAUACUCAAUACAACCACAUAGCUCGGUCCAUAGGCCACAGAGUUCGGGAUGGAAAAAAAAAGAACUUCAAUUCGGCAUAAAGGGCACAUAGUUCGGCAAAACAAAAUGCUCUAUUAGUCACAUAUAUUAUAUCUUACCCAAAUAAAUAAAUGCAUUUUAUAUUGUUGCUUUCAUAAGCAUUUUCUAAUUUCUAAUAUAAAACCCACUACCUAGGAAUGGGACAUUCCUUUUCUACCUCAAGAUAAGCAUUAAACCAUCAUUUUCACAUUUUAAUACGAAAAACCCUAGCUCUGACAGAGGCAUAUAUACAAACCUAACAUUCAAAGCAGUGUUCAUUAUAAAAGCAAAAUUUGAAACCCUAACAUUCCAACCAACAAACACAUAUCUCUUUCAUACUAACAGCCAAUGGGCCAAAAACUAAAUUAUAUUGCACAAGGAUUUCGAACAAAACAACAAAUCAAAACAAAUACACCAAACCUAGGUCCUCAAGUGCCUUCGUAGCUCCACUUUUUUUCUUACUCAUAUUUCUUAGUUUAGGCUUCUCUUCAACACCAGAAAAAACUUACGACCAAAAUCAUCGCAUUGUCAAAUCGGACAUGCAAACCCAAAAUCUUAAAAGAAAAAGGGAAACCACUAACCUCGAAUGGGAAACACACUAAUCACGCCGAAAUGAAAUGGAAAUCGGCAAUGCCCAAGCGCCGAAAUACAACAGCGGGGUUUCAGCCGAACGUCGAAGACAACCUCACUAAUCACGCCGAAAUGAAAUGGAAAUCGGCAAUGCCCAAG
rnacentral:lncRNA from 1 species